AUAAUCAUGGAGUAUAAUAAUUAAAUUUAAUAAAUUUAAUAUAACUAUUAAUAGAAUUAGGUUACUAAUAAAUUAAUAACAAUUAAUUUUAAAACCUAAAGGUAAACCUUUAUAUUAAUAAUGUUAUUUUUUAUUAUAUUUAUAAUAAGAAUAAUUAUUAAUAAUAAUAAACUAAGUGAACUGAAACAUCUAAGUAACUUAAGGAUAAGAAAUCAACAGAGAUAUUAUGAGUAUUGGUGAGAGAAAAUAAUAAAGGUCUAAUAAGUAUUAUGUGAAAAAAAUGUAAGAAAAUAGGAUAACAAAUUCUAAGACUAAAUACUAUUAAUAAGUAUAGUAAGUACCGUAAGGGAAAGUAUGAAAAUGAUUAUUUUAUAAGCAAUCAUGAAUAUAUUAUAUUAUAUUAAUGAUGUACCUUUUGUAUAAUGGGUCAGCAAGUAAUUAAUAUUAGUAAAACAAUAAGUUAUAAAUAAAUAGAAUAAUAUAUAUAUAUAUAAAAAUAUAUUAAAAUAUUUAAUUAAUAUUAAUUGACCCGAAAGCAAACGAUCUAACUAUGAUAAGAUGGAUAAACGAUCGAACAGGUUGAUGUUGCAAUAUCAUCUGAUUAAUUGUGGUUAGUAGUGAAAGACAAAUCUGGUUUGCAGAUAGCUGGUUUUCUAUGAAAUAUAUGUAAGUAUAGCCUUUAUAAAUAAUAAUUAUUAUAUAAUAUUAUAUUAAUAUUAUAUAAAGAAUGGUACAGCAAUUAAUAUAUAUUAGGGAACUAUUAAAGUUUUAUUAAUAAUAUUAAAUCUCGAAAUAUUUAAUUAUAUAUAAUAAAGAGUCAGAUUAUGUGCGAUAAGGUAAAUAAUCUAAAGGGAAACAGCCCAGAUUAAGAUAUAAAGUUCCUAAUAAAUAAUAAGUGAAAUAAAUAUUAAAAUAUUAUAAUAUAAUCAGUUAAUGGGUUUGACAAUAACCAUUUUUUAAUGAACAUGUAACAAUGCACUGAUUUAUAAUAAAUAAAAAAAAAAUAAUAUUUAAAAUCAAAUAUAUAUAUAUUUGUUAAUAGAUAAUAUACGGAUCUUAAUAAUAAGAAUUAUUUAAUUCCUAAUAUGGAAUAUUAUAUUUUUAUAAUAAAAAUAUAAAUACUGAAUAUCUAAAUAUUAUUAUUACUUUUUUUUUUAAUAAUAAUAAUAUGGUAAUAGAACAUUUAAUGAUAAUAUAUAUUAGUUAUUAAUUAAUAUAUGUAUUAAUUAAAUAGAGAAUGCUGACAUGAGUAACGAAAAAAAGGUAUAAACCUUUUCACCUAAAACAUAAGGUUUAACUAUAAAAGUACGGCCCCUAAUUAAAUUAAUAAGAAUAUAAAUAUAUUUAAGAUGGGAUAAUCUAUAUUAAUAAAAAUUUAUCUUAAAAUAUAUAUAUUAUUAAUAAUUAUAUUAAUAAUAUAUAUAAUUAUAUUAUAUAUUUUUUUUUAUAUAAUAUAAACUAAUAAAGAUCAGGAAAUAAUUAAUGUAUACCGUAAUGUAGACCGACUCAGGUAUGUAAGUAGAGAAUAUGAAGGUGAAUUAGAUAAUUAAAGGGAAGGAACUCGGCAAAGAUAGCUCAUAAGUUAGUCAAUAAAGAGUAAUAAGAACAAAGUUGUACAACUGUUUACUAAAAACACCGCACUUUGCAGAAACGAUAAGUUUAAGUAUAAGGUGUGAACUCUGCUCCAUGCUUAAUAUAUAAAUAAAAUUAUUUAACGAUAAUUUUAUUAAAUUUAGGUAAAUAGCAGCCUUAUUAUGAGGGUUAUAAUGUAGCGAAAUUCCUUGGCCUAUAAUUGAGGUCCCGCAUGAAUGACGUAAUGAUACAACAACUGUCUCCCCUUUAAGCUAAGUGAAAUUGAAAUCGUAGUGAAGAUGCUAUGUACCUUCAGCAAGACGGAAAGACCCUAUGCAGCUUUACUGUAAUUAGAUAGAUCGAAUUAUUGUUUAUUAUAUUCAGCAUAUUAAGUAAUCCUAUUAUUAGGUAAUCGUUUAGAUAUUAAUGAGAUACUUAUUAUAAUAUAAUGAUAAUUCUAAUCUUAUAAAUAAUUAUUAUUAUUAUUAUUAAUAAUAAUAAUAUGCUUUCAAGCAUAGUGAUAAAACAUAUUUAUAUGAUAAUCACUUUACUUAAUAGAUAUAAUUCUUAAGUAAUAUAUAAUAUAUAUUUUAUAUAUAUUAUAUAUAAUAUAAGAGACAAUCUCUAAUUGGUAGUUUUGAUGGGGCGUCAUUAUCAGCAAAAGUAUCUGAAUAAGUCCAUAAAUAAAUAUAUAAAAUUAUUGAAUAAAAAAAAUAAUAUAUAUUAUAUAUAUUAAUUAUAAAUUGAAAUAUGUUUAUAUAAAUUUAUAUUUAUUGAAUAUAUUUUAGUAAUAGAUAAAAAUAUGUACAGUAAAAUUGUAAGGAAAACAAUAAUAACUUUCCUCAAAAAAUAAUUAUGGAAAGAAUUAAAUUAAUAUAAUGGUAUAACUGUGCGAUAAUUGUAACACAAACGAGUGAAACAAGUACGUAAGUAUGGCAUAAUGAACAAAUAACACUGAUUGUAAAGGUUAUUGAUAACGAAUAAAAGUUACGCUAGGGAUAACAGGGUAAUAUAACGAAAGAGUAGAUAUUGUAAGUUAUGUUUGCCACCUCGAUGUCGACUCAACAUUUCCUCUUGGUUGUAAAAGCUAAGAAGGGUUUGACUGUUCGUCAAUUAAAAUGUUACGUGAGUUGGGUUAAAUACGAUGUGAAUCAGUAUGGUUCCUAUCUGCUGAAGGAAAUAUUAUCAAAUUAAAUCUCAUUAUUAGUACGCAAGGACCAUAAUGAAUCAACCCAUGGUGUAUCUAUUGAUAAUAAUAUAAUAUAUUUAAUAAAAAUAAUACUUUAUUAAUAUAUUAUCUAUAUUAGUUUAUAUUUUAAUUAUAUAUUAUCAUAGUAGAUAAGCUAAGUUGAUAAUAAAUAAAUAUUGAAUACAUAUUAAAUAUGAAGUUGUUUUAAUAAGAUAAUUAAUCUGAUAAUUUUAUACUAAAAUUAAUAAUUAUAGGUUUUAUAUAUUAUUUAUAAAUAAAUAUAAUAUAAUAAUAAUAAUUAUUAUUAUUAAUAAAAAAUAU
rnacentral:rRNA from 1 species